UUUAUUUCUCUUGAAAAUAGACUCAUUAAAGAUUCUAAGCAUAUAAAUUAUAGCCUGUAAUUAUUUUUAUACAAUUUUUAAUGAUUUUCCCAAUUCAGAAUAGGGAAUUCCAAAAUCAAUCUGACAUUGUCUCACAAAAAUUCAAAUUCAUACCAAAUUAGUCAAAUCCUAUUUUAUACCAUAGCCAAAUCUAAAUUUAUUUAUUUCAUCCUUACAUUUACAAUUUCAAAAUGACAUACACAUAAGACAUCCUAGGUACAUGCCAUUACCAAUAAUUAACACACUUUACCUUAAUGAAUUCGAGAUUGGACUGGGAUGCUGAUUCAACGUUCUAUCUUUACUAAACCUGCGCACGGAAACAAACCGUAUGCUGAGUAUGGUAUGCUCAGUGGUAUUUCUAUAAUCCGAACACUUGAUAAUAUAACAAUUAAACUUAAAAUCACAAUGAUAAAUAUAACCAUUCAUUUAUUUAUUUUAUAGAUAAGUUUCAUUUACUUACCAUAAAAAUUCUAUACAAGCCAUAUAACAAACACAACAACAUAUUUGCUCAAUUCUUUUCAUUUGCUUACUGUAUAAAUUCUUUCAAUAUUUUCACAAUUCACUUGUAUUCACACUUUACUUCUUAACAAUAUACCAUUUUAAUUCAUUCUAACAUCAAUCAUCAUCCAUUUGAACUUCACUCAUUUCAUGAACCUUUUGGUUCAUGUUUUCAAUCUCAUAUCUCAAUUUCAAUUCUCAAUUCAAUUUCUCAUUUCAUUCCAAUAGUUCAAUCAAUCAAAUUUACUCGAUUUAUCUUUUCACUUAUUUACCUCUAUUAACAAACCCGGACUUUGACGGAUACACGGAUUCCAACCCAAACACACCAGUACGGCACAUUGUGCCUAAAACGGUACAUAGUACCUGAUCAGUAUACGACAUAUAAAGUGCCUAAAACGACACACGAGGUGCUUGAUACGACACACGAGGUGCCUGAAAUACGACACAUAAAGUGCCUAAUCGGUAAAGCCGGCAAAUCCCGUACACUUUCAGAUCCUAUGGCAUGCCAAUUAUAUCCGACUUAGCCCGACUAGUUAAUAGGGUAUUUCAUUCACUUUCUCAAUUUAAUAAUUCUUUCAUCAAUAUCUCAUUCAGAUAAUUACAUAUAUUUACCCAUUUUCACAAUUCAUACAGUUUCAUUCAAUUCAACAAUAUAUUUCAAUUAUUCACAUUAAUUCAUAAUUCAAUACAAUUCAAUUCAUUUUUCAAUAUCAAAUAUUCAAAUAUCACAAUCUCAUAUAUUCAUACCAAUUUCCUCAUAUUUCCAAUCAAUAUAUUUUUCAAUAUAACAUUCAUUCAAUAUUCAAAUUUCUACAUAAAUCAUAUAUAUUAUAUAAUUCAAUCAAUAUAAAUUCAAUCAAAAUAAUUUCAAUCAAUAUAAAUUCAAUAAAACAGAUAUUCAUAAAUCAAUUCAAUAUAAAUUUAUCACACACUAAAUCAUUUCAUUUCAAUUAUAAAGACACAAUACAAAUAAUUCCCAUCUUAAUUAUUUAUCAUAAUAUUUAUCCAAAAUUCAAUUAUCAUAAUUGCAUAAUAUCUCAUUCACACACACACACAUAUAUAUAUAAUUCAAUUUAAUUCAAUCAAUAUAAAUUCAUCACAUACCAAAUUAAUCCAUUUCCAUUAUAAACACAAUAAUUCUCACUUCAACAUUUAUUAAAUGCAUUGAAUAAAAAAAUAUAACAAUUAAUAACUAGGUUCGGAUUAUAGAAAUACAAACCGUAUUUUCUCGAGCUAACUCCCUUUGUCUUUGCCAUUUUUUCAUUGCUUAGCCGAGGUUUCCCGAGACAACAUUAGCUAUGAGAAUUAAAACAAUUCAUAUUCGUUAAUUCACUACUAAUUUAUAUCUAAUUAAUGCAAUUUUUAUUCAAUUUCUACUUUAAUUUCAAUUUAAUCUUAACUAGAUUUACUUACUUUUUCUAUCUCAAUUUAUACUUCAUUUCUAUUCAAAUUUUGUCCAAACUCAUACUUAACUAUUAAAUUUCCAGCAUAUUUUCAUAAUUUAUAAUUUAUUUCCAUUUAAUCCCUAAAACUCAAAACUUAUAGCUUAGUUUACGAUUCAAUCCUUUAUUCAAUUCCAAUCAAAAUUUCUAUCAAAUAAACCCCCAAUUCCAUCAUUUUAUUCAACAUGAACCAUACUUAGAAAUCUAAUGACUUUCAAAAUUUCUACUUAAAACAAGUAGUAUUUAUCUCUAGGAUUCCAAAAACUCAAAAAUCAUAAGAAAAUGGGCUAAAUUGACUUACCAAAUUAACUUGGAACCUUUAAAACCUUAUUUUUCCCUUUUUCUCUUCUUCCUUUCUCCCUUCUCUGUUUCGUCCCCUGCUAUUCUGUUUCUUUCCUCUUUUUAUUCUUUU
rnacentral:lncRNA from 1 species